UAGUCAAAGAGGGGCAGCAUCAAAGCAGACACUGCUUUUGGCAGUGAAAUGAGCAAAGAGUGCCCCCACGGGUAACCCUUCAUGUUGGUGAGGACAUGGGAAAGCACUGCUACAAAUCUCUGGAGAACAAUUUCUAUGAAGUGUGAAGAAUAGAGUUUUUGACAUUGUACUUGUUCUCUUCACUCUUCGGGAUUCUAUAAGAGAUGUCCAGCAAGCAGCAGAGCUGGGCUUACGAUGUCGUACCAAGCAUGGAAGGAAGCACUGCAAAGCUGACAUCAGCACAAAUACCUGUGGAAACUGCAGGGGGCAAGGCAAUGAGGUGCUACUUCAAGUAACGGAAGCUUCUUUAUGGUUCACUGAGGAGAGUCAACCCCUUCACAAUCUAGAACACAAAGAUGGGAUCUUCUGAGAACGUCAGAGAAAGACUGCCAUUGCCAUCCUCACUGCAAUAAAACUUUGGAAACUUGAACCUUGAGUUCAUCAUCUCACGACUGAGAAGGGUCCCUCCACACUCUUGGAACUGGACACCCAUUGGAACCCUUAAGGUAAAGCUAACCAGGGAAGUUUCUCCCCAGAAGUAGUUGGCAUCCUUGAUGUGACCAACUUUUCCCAAGAUCACGGAUCAAGAAUUCUAUCACGAGA